rnacentral:rRNA from 1 species
GGGAGUACGCACGCAAGUGUGAAACUCAAAGGAAUUGACGGGGGCCCGCACAAGCGGUGGAGUAUGUGGUUUAAUUCGAUGCAACGCGAAGAACCUUACCAGGGUUUGACAUCCUGCGAACCUCUUAGAAAUUUGAGGGUGCCUUCGGGAAUGCAGUGACAGGUGGUGCAUGGCUGUCGUCAGCUCGUGUCGUGAGAUGUUGGGUUAAGUCCCGCAACGAGCGCAACCCACGUUUUUAGUUGCCAGCAUUUAGUUGGGCACUCUAGAAAGACCGCCGGUGAUAAACCGGAGGAAGGUGUGGAUGACGUCAAGUCAUCAUGCCCCUUACACCCUGGGCUACACACGUACUACAAUGCUACGGACAAAGGGCAGCAAACUCGCGAGAGCUAGCAAAUCCCAUAAACCGUGGCUCAGUUCAGAUCGUAGGCUGCAACUCGCCUACGUGAAGUAGGAAUCGCUAGUAAUCGCAGGUCAGCAUACUGCGGUGAAUACGUUCCCGGGCCUUGUACACACCGCCCGUCACACCAUGGAAGUUGGCCAUGCCCGAAGUCGUUACUCCAACCCUUGUGAAGGAGGACGCCGAAGGUGGGGCUAAUGACUGGGGUGAAGUCGUAACAAGGUAGCCGUACCGGAAGGCGCG